UUUCAGCUAGUGAGGAAGGCGGGUACGUUAAUAGUCGUGCUCGUUUGACGUUUAGCUGCAGAAGAAGCACCGGCUAACUCCGUGCCAGCAGCCGCGGUAAUACGGAGGGUGCGAGCGUUAAUCGGAAUUACUGGGCGUAAAGCGCAUGCAGGUGGUUGUUAAGUCAGAUGUGAAAGCCCGGGGCUCAACCUCGGAAUUGCAUUUGAAACUGGCAGACUAGAGUCUUGUAGAGGGGGUAGAAUUUCAGGUGUAGCGGUGAAAUGCGUAGAGAUCUGAAGGAAUACCAGUGGCGAAGGCGGCCCCCUGGACAAAGACUGACGCUCAGAUGCGAAAGCGUGGGGAGCAAACAGGAUUAGAUACCCUGGUAG
rnacentral:rRNA from 1 species